UAUAAAUGUGGUAAUUCAGAUGAUGAAGAGGAUUCACAUACUGCACGAGAAAUACUCAGAAUUGUUACAGAAUACACACAGGCAAAAAUUAGCCAAAUAUCUAAAAUAUAUCGGGUUUGACAACUUGGCACACACGUUAUGUCCUCAGGAUUCAUAUUUAUCCACACAACCGACUUCCCAUCUUACCCAGGAUGCCAGGGCUAUACACAUCGGGUCCCUAGUUACCUCUGCUACUAGUUCCAACAGAUUCUGUUGAGUACAGAGAACUAUGUUUGCUGUGGAGUUUUGCGGCAGCUGUUUUCGGUAGUUCAUCCCCUCAGCUCAUAGCCGGGCUGCUGCUUUUCCCUGUGCCUGUGCCAGAUGAAUGCAACGCUGUGGGGAAGGAGUCAGGUGCUGGGAAGGAUAUUUCUAAUACUCAGUUCACAUGGGAGCCGCUCGGUUUCAGUUAACGCACAUGGGCCCUUACUUGUUCCGAGAAGAAAGAAGUGAUCCAGAUCGCCGGGUGCAUCAUUUUAUACCGGACACGUGGCAGAGGGAACUCCUGGAUGUCGUAGAUAACAAUGAGUCGGCUGUGAUUGUUGUUCCAACCUCAUCAGGGAAAACCUACGCCUCCUACUACUGCAUGGGGAAAGUCCUGCGGGAGAGCGAUGACGGAGUGGCCGUGUACGUCGCGCCCACAAAGGCUCUGGUUAACCAGGUGGUGGGAACUGUCUACAAUUUGUUUACUAAAGCACUGCCGAAAGGCUCAGUGGUGUGUGGAGUUUUCACAAGGGAUUACCGCCACGACACCUUGAACUGUCAGAUAUUAGUAACAGUGCCUCAGUGUUUGGAAAUACUCUUGCUAUCACCUCAUUAUCAGAAAUGGACAGAAAGAAUGCGCUAUGUCAUAUUUGAUGAGGUUCACUGCCUUGGGGGAGAAGUUGGAGCGGAAGUGUGGGAACAUCUCCUUGUUAUGAUUCGUUGUCCCUUUUUGGCCCUUUCUGCUACUAUCAGUAACCCUGAGCAUCUCACUGAGUGGUUGGCGUUAGUUAAAGGAUAUUGGCAACGUGUUGAAAGCACAAUGGAAAAUGCUGAUCCAUCAAGAAAUGCCUUAAAAAGCUCAAAGAGACAACAACGAACAAGAGUGGGAAAGCCAUCACUGGGUAUGGAUUUCUUCACUCGGAGAGAGUGCAGAAGUAGCAAGCAUACCCCUGUGUUACAAAGAACGAUACAACGAUCUAGAAAAGUAGUGUGUUCUCUAAAGGAUAACGAUUUUGUCAUUGCACACUACCACCCGUGCGCUGCACUCACAGUCAACCAUAUAGAGAAGUAUGGAUCCCUGCAGACCUUCAGUUUUCUCCUCGGGAAAGCAUACUUCUAUGAUGCUAUGGUACACAUUUGGCCAGAACGGUCAAGAAUGCAGGAGUUAGAACCUGAAGAAUUCAGCUGCUUCAAAAAUAAAGUAGUCAUCAUGAGGACAGAUGCCAAGAAAUAUGAAGAGGAACUGAAAAAGGAACUGCUUAGUUGGAUGCAGCUGGACCCAGGCAAGGUGAAUCAGUUACUGCAGUACCUUAAGCCUCAAACUUUUGACAGUGCAAGAAUUGAAAAGGAACGAAUGCUUCCUUGUUUUGUGGAAAAACUUAAAGAAAUGGAUAGGCUACCAGCAAUAUUUUUCUCAUUCAACAUUCACUCAGUGGAAAGGUCAGCUUCACGCCUUCUUACUAAUAUGUUGAUGAGACAAUAUACUCAUAGUCACAACUCUGAAGGAGAGAAGAAUUUAAACAGGAAACUGGAGAAAGCAAUUAAGUCUCAAAGGAGAAUGUACGCUGCUUAUUUACAUUCAAAUUCAACUGCUCGAAUUCAGAGAUUGAUUUUAUGGGACGCUGAAAUAAAGGAAAUAAAGAAGAGUCUUAAAAAGAGUAAAGAAGUUCCUCCGGACUGUACUUAUGUUGAUCGAGCAGGUGUGGAUAGCAAGACUUUCAGGAAGAUUGUAUCCAGGCUGAGAUGGACAAGAGGAGGCUCUGGUCUGAUCAGGCUGUUACAGCGGGGCAUUGGCUACCAUCAUGGUUUAAUGGAGUACAAACAGAGACAAGUUGUUGAGACCCUUUUCAGACUGAAGCACGUCAAGGUAGUGACAGCUACAUCAUCCCUUGCUUUGGGAAUUAAUAUGCCCUGUAAAACCGUUGUUUUUACAGAAGACUCUGUUUAUUUGGAUGCUCUGAACUUUCGACAGAUGUCUGGGCGUGCAGGAAGGCGUGGAGAAGAUCUUAUAGGAAGUGUGAUCUUCUAUGAUAUUCCAUUACCCAAGAUAGACCGGCUCUUGAAGUCUGAUGUGCCCAAGCUGAAGGGUCAGUUUCCCCUAAACAUCACCUUGGUUCUCAGACUCAUGCUGUUGGUUGCCAAAGCAGAUGACAAAGAGGAUGCCAAAGCAAAGGCAUUGUCGCUGCUCCAGUAUUCCUUGAUGUCCUUCAAGCGACCAAAGGUCAAGUGCAUGUUAAAAUUUUACUUCAUAUAUUCUUUGCAAUUCUUGAUCAGAGAGGGAUACCUGAAUCAAGAAUGUGUUCCCGUUGGAUAUGCUGGCCUUGUGUCCCACCUGCACUACCACGAACCUUCAAACUUUGCUUUAGUAAGCAUGCUGGUGAAAGGUCUGUUUCACAAGCUGUGUGUUCCAGUCAUCGUAGAUGGCAAAAAGACAUUUUCUGAAGAUGUGAUGGAAACCUUGGUGGUGGUUUUAGCACAUCUUUUUGGAAAGAGAUACCUUCCUCCCUGUGCGAAAAAGUUUAAGAAGGUGUUUUCUCAUUCAAUGGUGUUCCUCCGCCAUCUUCCAGAGGACUUCGCUGCUGCAGUGAAGGAGUACAAUGCCAGGAUUCGGAAGAGCUUUGGUUCCUUCCUCCUGACCGUUUCUAAGCUGGCUGAUGGGAGCCAGGAAUACCGACUCCCUCUUUCAGAAAUAGGCUAUCCUUACGAACACUCAGUGUGGAUGUCAGCAAUGGUUCCUCUCCUUUGCUUGUACAAACGGGAUCAAAGUGGCCGGAAGUAUUUUUUGAAUGCCUAUGCCACUGGACUUCUACAAGCAUGGUUCCUUGUUCUCACUGGCUUCAGACAACUGGUAUGA